AUUGAACGCUGGCGGCAUGCCUUACACAUGCAAGUCGAACGGCAGCACGGGAGCAAUCCUGGUGGCGAGUGGCGAACGGGUGAGUAAUAUAUCGGAACGUGCCCAGUCGUGGGGAUAACGUAGCGAAAGCUACGCUAAUACCGCAUACGAUCUAUGGAUGAAANCGGGGGAUCGCAAGACCUCGCGCGAUUGGAGCGGCCGAUAUCAGAUUAGGUAGUUGGUGAGGUAAAGGCUCACCAAGCCGACGAUCCGUAACUGGUCUGAGAGGAUGAUCAGUCACACUGGAACUGAGACACGGUCCAGGACUCCUACGGGA
rnacentral:rRNA from 1 species